rnacentral:rRNA from 1 species
GAUGAACGCUGGCGGCGUGCCUAAUACAUGCAAGUCGAGCGAACAGACGAGGAGCUUGCUCCUCUGACGUUAGCGGCGGACGGGUGAGUAACACGUGGAUAACCUACCUAUAAGACUGGGAUAACUUCGGGAAACCGGAGCCAAUACCGGAUAAUAUAUUGAACCGCAUGGUUCAUUAGUGAAAGACGGUUUUGCUGUCACUUAUAGAUGGAUCCGCGCCGCAUUAGCUAGUUGGUAAGGUAACGGCUUACCAAGGCGACGAUGCGUAGCCGACCUGAGAGGAUGAUCGGCCACACUGGAACUGAGACACGGUCCAGACUCCUACGGGAGGCAGCAGUGGGGAAUCUUGCGCAAUGGGCGAAAGCCUGACGGAGCAACGCCGCGUGAGUGAUGAAGGUCUUCGGAUCGUAAAGCUCUGUUAUUAGGGAAGAACAAAUGUGUAAGUAACUAUGCACGUCUUGACGGUACCUAAUCAGAAAGCCACGGCUAACUACGUG